AUUGAACGCUGGCGGCAGGCUUAACACAUGCAAGUCGAGCGGAGCGAGGGUGCUUGCACCUUAGCUUAGCGGCGGACGGGUGAGUAAUGCUUAGGAAUCUGCCUAUUAGUGGGGGACAACAUUCCGAAAGGAAUGCUAAUACCGCAUACGCCCUACGGGGGAAAGCAGGGGAUCUUCGGACCUUGCGCUAAUAGAUGAGCCUAAGUCGGAUUAGCUAGUUGGUGGGGUAAAGGCCUACCAAGGCGACGAUCUGUAGCGGGUCUGAGAGGAUGAUCCGCGACACUGGGACUGAGACACGGCCCAGACUGCUACGGGAGGCAGCAGUGGGGAAUAUUGGACAAUGGGCGGAAGCCUGAUCCAGCAAUGCCGCGUGUGUGAAGAAGGCCUUUUGGUUGUAAAGCACUUUAAGCGAGGAGGAGGCUACUAGUACUAAUACUACUGGAUAGUGGACGUUACUCGCAGAAUAAGCUCCGGCUAACUUCGUGCCAGCAGCCGCAGUAAUAC
rnacentral:rRNA from 1 species